rnacentral:rRNA from 1 species
ACUCCUACGGGAGGCAGCAGUGGGGAAUAUUGCACAAUGGGCGCAAGCCUGAUGCAGCCAUGCCGCGUGUAUGAAGAAGGCCUUCGGGUUGUAAAAUUCUUUCGCUAGGGAUGAUAAUGACAGUACCUAGUAAAGAAGCCCCGGCUAACUCCGUGCCAGCAGCCGCGGUAAUACGGAGGGGCUAGCGUUGUUCGGAAUUACUGGGCGUAAAGCGUGCGUAGGCGGAUUGGAAAGUUAGAGGUGAAAAUCCCGGGGCUCAACCCCGGAACUGCCUUUAAAAUACUUCCAGUCUAGAGUUCUGGAGAGGUAAGUGGAAUUCCUAGUGUAGAGGUGAAAUUCGUAGAUAUUAGGAGGGAACACCAGAGGCGAAGGCGGCUUACUGGACAGAUACUGACGCUGAGGCACGAAAGUGUGGGGAGCAAACAGGAUUAGAUACCCUGGUAGCUACGAG